GAAAAUGUCGUGCCAAUAACUAUACAUGCAGUCGAGCGGACAGAUGGGAGCUUGCUCCCUGAUGUUAGCGGCGGACGGGUGAGUAACACGUGGGUAACCUGCCUGUAAGACUGGGAUAACUCCGGGAAACCGGGGCUAAUACCGGAUGGUUGUCUGAACCGCAUGGUUCAGACAUAAAAGGUGGCUUCGGCUACCACUUACAGAUGGACCCGCGGCGCAUUAGCUAGUUGGUGAGGUAACGGCUCACCAAGGCGACGAUGCGUAGCCGACCUGAGAGGGUGAUCGGCCACACUGGGACUGAGACACGGCCCAGACUCCUACGGGAGGCAGCAGUAGGGAAUCUUCCGCAAUGGACGAAAGUCUGACGGAGCAACGCCGCGUGAGUGAUGAAGGUUUUCGGAUCGUAAAGCUCUGUUGUUAGGGAAGAACAAGUGCCGUUCAAAUAGGGCGGCACCUUGACGGUACCUAACCAGAAAGCCACGGCUAACUACGUGCCAGCAGCCGCGGUAAUACGUAGGUGGCAAGCGUUGUCCGGAAUUAUUGGGCGUAAAGGGCUCGCAGGCGGUUUCUUAAGUCUGAUGUGAAAGCCCCCGGCUCAACCGGGGAGGGUCAUUGGAAACUGGGGAACUUGAGUGCAGAAAAAGAGAGUGGAAUUCCACGUUGAGCGGUGAAAUG
rnacentral:rRNA from 1 species